GCCUUGAGUUGCAACACUUGUACUAAUGAAGCUGACGAACCUAAAUGUGCAGCAACAGCCUGCGCUGCAGCUGACACACGAUGUCAGAGCACUUAUACCCUCACUGCCCCAGAUGUUCCAGUAUCAAAGGCAUGUGCUGAGGAUUGCACACCAUCCGCUACUGUGAAGUGCUGUGGUACAUCUCAGUGUAACGUGGACCUCUUGAAAUGCUACACCUGCACUGACUUGACAGAUGAAUCUAAUUGUAAAGAUAUAACAGUCUGUGGGUACGGUGACAAGUUCUGUAAAACCACUUACAAACUAACUGGAACUGGUGUCACCGUCAGCAAGGGAUGUGCAUCAGCUUGUACUGUAACAACAGCUUUCCCGCGAGAUGAGUGCUGUCAGGGAGAACUGUGUAACGAUAAAUUGAUUUGCUUCCAAUGUGCUGAAACAACCGAUGAAAGCUCCUGUACUUCGAGUCCAUGUGCAGCUGAAGCAUUCUGCAAGAGUGACUACAAACUCAACGGGGCAGGAGUGCCUGCUGUCAUUAAGUCCUGUGCAGCUGAUUGCAAAGCUGUUGACAAUACAGCAGACAAAAACGUGAGGACAACUUGCUGCAAAACAGGAUAUUGUAA